UAUUUAUUUUAGAUUAUUUUGGCAGCUAUUUGGAGAUUAGUUAAAAGGAGAGCAAGCCUGGAGACAGACCUGGUGGAAGAACCCAGGUGACCGUCAAGGAUGUCCUGGAUGGAGUCCAAACAACCUGGGGAUGGAAUGUAGGCAGCAAUAGGGGAUGGCAGAUUCACAGCUUCUAGAAGACUCAACUGGAAUGGGGUGCCCUUUUCUUCAGGAACAAGUUGGGCAGAAAGAGAUCAGCAUAAUCUGACAGAGAGGCUGGCAUUGAUUGGAAGCCUGCUCCUGCUGGAUGCUGUCCUGAGCCCUCUCACAGACACAAGUCUGGGAUGCUUACCACAAACCUACGAGUAGAAUUCUUAUCCAUGUUUUACAGGUAAGGACACUGAGGCUUGGGAAGAGGACAUCACUUGCCUGAGGUGACACUGCUGUUAGGCAGCUGAGCUGCAACUCAAAUCUGGGCCCAUCUGACUCUAAUGUUUGUUUUAACCCAGGUGUUAUCCCCUAUUUUCUAGGCAUUUCCAAUUGAUCUGUCUUUCCGACACUGUUAGCGACAAUAUGGUAACUGAUGUGUGUUCUAACGAGCUGAAGGUUCCACAGAGAAUUUCUGGAGUUUAGUUCUCACCACAAAAUAUUAGUGAAGCAAAUGGUAGAAAUUUUCGCCAAACUCAAAUAGGGAUUAUUCUUUUUAUGUAUUUUUCUUGCACAUGGUU
rnacentral:lncRNA from 12 species